AAACCUUUUUUUCUAAUCCAACUUGAUAGGCCCAAAUGAUUCAACAAUAGUAGUGUUGAGCUUGUGAACAAAGUAUCUAGAUGCUCAUGAAACAAGGGCAAUCAAAAAAAAAUGAUCAAUGUUUUUUAUUUUCAAACUUACAGAGAGUAUACAUAGUAAGUAUUGGCUGAUUCCUAUUUCAUAGAUUUCCAACUAGCAAGCAUUCCUUCUCAAAAGGUAGUGGGACACUUUCAUGUUUGUUGUAAUAGAAACAGGCAAAUAAUUAGAUUAUUCCAUCAUAAUUAAGAGUCACAUGACAAUUAUUGAUCACAAAGGCUCUAUAUCUUUACUAUCUCCAAUAUAUUUCAUCUCCUUAUAAACUUAGAUUUAUUUCUUGAAGUUCAUUAAAAAGCUAAAAGAUCUCAACAUCAAAUAAAUCUAUGAUUUUAUUGUAAAUUGAAAAUUCCAAUGUUGCAAAGUGAGAGAAGGGAAUGCUUAAAGAUAAAUAAAUAAAAUAUUUCACCAGAAGUUAUGCAAGCUGUGGGCACACUAGAAGGAAAAAGAACUUGUUAGCCAUCUUCUUGUAUGACCUGCAAAAUAGAGCUUCACCAACACCAACACAACUAGAAUUUUCAGGUGAAAUCAUUUUCAUUAAUAUUCGAUGUUGAAUUAGAUUUCCAAGGUAUCUUGAAUCAUCCAAAAUGGAGAAUGGGCGAGGGAGAAAAAUAAAAAGAGAUGGUGGGUGCCUUACAGCAGAUAAACUCAUCCAUAGAAAAGUUUAUUUUAAGGACUCCACAAACCAACUUGAUGAGGAAGUUGCAUCAACGCGAGGGAGCACAUUGCAAGCCUUGAUAACUCAAUAAACAAAUACCGCCCAACUUGCCCAAGAACUGGAAGAUGACUCCUCCACAAAAAC
rnacentral:lncRNA from 1 species